CCAAUAGCGUAUAUUAAAGUUGUUACAGUUAAAAAGCUCGUAGUUGAAUUUUGGGAUCAAUGGGUUGGUCAUGCCCUCGGUAUGUACUGAUUUCAUUGGUUCUCACUUUCUAAGGAACCAUGAUGUCAUUCGUUUGAUGUUGUGGGGAAUUAGGACUGUUACCUUGAAAAAAUUAGAGUGUUUAAAGCAGGCUAACGUUUGAAUACAUUAGCAUGGAAUAAUGAAAUAGGACAUCCGAUUCUAUUUUGUUGGUUUUUAGGAUCGAUGUAAUGAUUAAUAGGGAUAGUUGGAGGCAUUAGUAUUCAAUUGUCAGAGGUGAAAUUCUUGGAUUUAUUGAAGACUAACUACUGCGAAAGCAUUUGCCAAGGAUGUUUUCAUUAAUCAAGAACGAAAGUUAGAGGAUCGAAGACGAUCAGAUACCGUCGUAGUCUUAACCAUAAACUAUGCCAACUAGGGAUCGGAUGAUGCUUAUUUUUUAAUGACUCAUUCGGCACCUUACG
rnacentral:rRNA from 1 species